rnacentral:rRNA from 1 species
AGAGUUUGAUCCUGGCUCAGAGCGAACGCUGGCGCGUGCGGCGCUACCAUGCAGUCGAACGGAUCCUUCGGGAUUAGUGGCGGACGGGUGAGUAACACGUGGGAACGUGCCUUUUGGUUCGGAACAACUCAGGGAAACUUGAGCUAAUACCGGAUAAGCCUUUCGAGGGAAAGAUUUAUCGCCAUUAGAGCGGCCCGCGUAGGAUUAGCUAGUUGGUGGGGUAAAGGCCCACCAAGGCUACGAUCCUUAGCUGGUCUGAGAGGAUGAUCAGCCACAUUGGGACUGAGACACGGCCCAAACUCCUACGGGAGGCAGCAGUGGGGAAUCUUGCGCAAUGGGCGAAAGCCUGACGCAGCCAUGCCGCGUGAAUGAUGAAGGUCUUAGGAUUGUAAAAUUCUUUCACCGGGGACGAUAAUGACGGUACCCGGAGAAGAAGCCCCGGCUAACUUCGUGCCAGCAGCCGCGGUAAUACGAAGGGGGCUAGCGUUGCUCGGAAUUACUGGGCGUAAAGGGAGCGUAGGCGGAUAGUUUAGUCAGAGGUGAAAGCCCAGGGCUCAACCUUGGAAUUGCCUUUGAUACUGGCUAUCUUGAGUACGGAAGAGGUAUGUGGAACUCCGAGUGUAGAGGUGAAAUUCGUAGAUAUUCGGAAGAACACCAGUGGCGAAGGCGACAUACUGGUCCGUUACUGACGCUGAGGCUCGAAAGCGUGGGGAGCAAACAGGAUUAGAUACCCUGGUAGUCCACGCUGUAAACGAUGAGUGCUAGUUGUCGGCAGGCAUGCCUGUCGGUGACGCAGCUAACGCAUUAAGCACUCCGCCUGGGGAGUACGGUCGCAAGAUUAAAACUCAAAGGAAUUGACGG